GCGGAAGUGGUGGAAUUGGCAGACACACCAUCUUGAGGGGGUGGCGGGCGUUGCCCAUGCGGGUUCAAAUCCCGCCUUCCGCA
rnacentral:tRNA from 1 species